rnacentral:rRNA from 1 species
UACGAAGGGGGCUAGCGUUGCUCGGAAUCACUGGGCGUAAAGCGCACGUAGGCGGAUCUUUAAGUCAGGGGUGAAAUCCUGGAGCUCAACUCCAGAACUGCCUUUGAUACUGGGGAUCUCGAGUCCGGAAGAGGUGAGUGGAACUCCGAGUGUAGAGGUGAAAUUCGUAGAUAUUCGCAAGAACACCAGUGGCGAAGGCGGCUCACUGGCCCGGUACUGACGCUGAGGCACGAAAGCGUGGGUAGCGAACAGG